rnacentral:rRNA from 1 species
GACGAACGCUGGCGGCGUGCUUAACACAUGCAAGUCGAACGGUGAAGGGGUCUGCUUUUGUGGGCCCUGGAUGAGUGGCGAACGGGUGAGUAACACGUGAGUAACCUGCCCCCUUCUUCUGGAUAACCGCAUGAAAGUGUGGCUAAUACGGGAUAUUCUGGGUCUGUCGCAUGAUGGGUCUGGGAAAGAUUGCGCCUUUGGGUGUUUUUGGUGGGGGAUGGGCUCGCGGCCUAUCAGCUUGUUGGUGGGGUGAUGGCCUACCAAGGCGGUGACGGGUAGCCGGACUGAGAGGGUGGACGGUGACACUGGGACUGAGACACGGCCCAGACUCCUACGGGAGGCAGCAGUGGGGAAUAUUGCACAAUGGGCGCAAGCCUGAUGCAGCGACGCCGCGUGAGGGAUGGAGGCCUUCGGGGUGUAAACCUCUUUCGCCAGUGAAGCAGGCCUGCUCCUUGUGGGUGGGUUGACGGUAGCUGGAUAAGAAGCGCCGGCUAACUACGUG